AUUGAACGCUGGCGGCAUGCCUUACACAUGCAAGUCGAACGGUAACGCGGGGCAACCUGGCGACGAGUGGCGAACGGGUGAGUAAUGCAUCGGAACGUGCCCAGUAGUGGGGGAUAGCCCGGCGAAAGCCGGAUUAAUACCGCAUACGACCUACGGGUGAAAGCGGGGGACCGCAAGGCCUCGCGCUAUUGGAGCGGCCGAUUUCGGAUUAGGUAGUUGGUGGGGUAAAGGCCUACCAAGCCUGCGAUCUGUAGCUGGUCUGAGAGGACGACCAGCCACACUGGGGCUGAGACACGGCCCGGACUCCUACGGGAGGCAGCAGUGGGGAAUUUUGGACAAUGGGGGCAACCCUGAUCCAGCCAUGCCGCGUGCGGGAAGAAGGCCUUCGGGUUGUAAACCGCUUUUGUCAGGGAAGAAAUCUCCUGGGCUAACACCUCGGGGGGAUGACGGUACCUGGAGAAUAAGCACCGGCUAACUACGUGCCAGCCGCCGCCGUAACAC
rnacentral:rRNA from 1 species